ACCUGGGUGGCUCAGUGGGUUGAGCGUCUGACUUUGGCUCAGGUCAUGAUCUCGCGGUCCGUGAGUUCGAGCCCCGCAUCGGGCU
rnacentral:tRNA from 1 species